UUUUUUUUUUUUGGUGGGAGGGCUUUACUGUACUCAUUUUGUUAAUGCUAUGAUUUUAAUUAUUUAAAAAAUGCAGAAAACAUUGGGUAUAAAAGACUUAACUUAUUCCACUCAUAUGAUCAACAUUGAUGUCUUAAUGCUAACAUGAACAAGAUACAAGUCCAGACGCAAGAUCCGGGCUUCAAACUUCGGUGCAAAAGGAGCAAAGUACUGGAACAAUCCAUAACCGUGGGAAAAUGUGUUGAUUGAAAGGUACAGAAUUAAGCUAACAUAAAAGACAUGGCUAUGUUUGAGGGUACAUUAAACUCUUGAUGAUUGUGGAAUUCAUGCAGACUUUCAAGAGAACGCUAUAUUGCAGGAAAAAUUCUUCAUGGCAAAUUCUCUUUCACCUAUACUGAAAUUCUUUGUUAAAAUAUCAACAUGGAAACAAAUUAUGGCAGGGCAAUGCAGUAGGAAAGUAAUCCUGCUAUAAUUUGUUUACAUGUUGACAUUCUAAAAAAACGAAUUUCAGCAAUUUAAAAUUCAUGGUUUACAUGAACUUUUGUUUUCUCAAUUUUAAUUUACCAAUGGAGAAAACAGAAUUUGAAAUUCAAAGUUUUGCCUGUGAUAGAGCGCUUUUUAACAAAAGACGAGACAUUAUUGAACAAGUAUGAGAACUGUGAAUGCUCACAUGUAUAGAAAUGGCAUCCUUGGUUUUUAUGUGCCUCCUUAUGCUGCUGCAAUAUCAUGACAAUUUUGUGCAACAGGAUGGUAACGCAAUGUUGUAAAGGGCUCACACUGUGGAUGAUUAUCUUCAGCAGCAAACAAUACAACAGAUGGAGGGACCAACACCGAACUUGAAUCCUAUCGAACAUGUUUGGGAUGCGCCUCAAAGCUUUGCACCUGCUUUUCAAGAACAAAGGCUCAUACUGCCAUUGGUCCUGGUAGACCACAUCACAUAUCACUGUAUUGCUGCUAGAGGUGAUCAUGCACCA
rnacentral:lncRNA from 1 species